rnacentral:rRNA from 1 species
AUUGAACGCUGGCGGCAGGCUUACCACAUGCAAGUCGAACGAGUGGCGGACGGGUGAGUAAUGUCUGGGAAACUUCCCGAUGGAGGGGGAUACCUACUAGAAACGGUGGGUAAUACCGCAUACUAUAGGUUGUGCCUAUAUGGGAUUAGCUAGUUGGUGGGGUAAAGGCUCACCAAGGCGACGAACCCUAGCUGGUCUGAGAGGAUGACCAGCCACACUGGGACGGAGACACGGUCCAGACUCCUACGGGAGGCAGCAGUGGGGAAUAUUGCACAAUGGGGGCAAGCCUGAUGCAGCCAGGCCGCGUGUAUGAAGAAGGCCUUCGGGUUGUAAAGUACUUUCAGCGGGGAGGCGGUACCCGCAGAAGAAGCACCGGCUAACUCCGUGCCAGCAGCCGCGGUAAUAC